CAAAUUGGUAACCCCUUUGAACUGUUUUCAUUUGGGUUUAAUGGUGAUUGGAGCUUUGUAGCUGUUGUUUCUGCUCUCAUUGAUGAGCUCUGAAGUUAUAGAAGCAGCUAAUGGAUUGCAAGCCUGGAAUAUAUUAGAAAAUCUUACCAAUCAAAUUGACCUAGUGUUAAGUGAAGGUAGUAAUGCCUUGUUUAUCAGGCAUAGGCCUGUUAUGCAAAAUCAUGAGCCACAAGAAGUGCAAGAAUAUUCCUGUGAUCAUGAUGUCAUCUCAUGAUUCAGUGGGUUUAGUUUUCAAGUGUUUGUCAAAAGGUGCAGCUGAUUUCCUUCUAAAACCUAUACGACAGAAUGAGCUCAAGAACCUAUGGCAACAUGUCUAGAGAAGA